rnacentral:misc_RNA from 1 species
CAGAGCUCGGGUUCGCCCGUCUCCACACCCUGUGUCUACGCUCUUCGUUGCUUUGGCGGGCCGUCGGCCCCCCGCCUCGGUCGCUCGCGGCUGGGGAGUGCCCGCCAGAGGACCUUUCAAACGCUUUGCAAACCGGGCCGUCCGAGUCUACAUGAAUCAGUCA